UACGUAGGGGGCAAGCGUUAUCCGGAUUUACUGGGUGUAAAGGGAGCGUAGACGGCGAUGCAAGUCUGAAGUGAAAGGCGGGGGCCCAACCCCCGGACUGCUUUGGAAACUGUAUGGCUGGAGUGCAGGAGAGGUAAGUGGAAUUCCUAGUGUAGCGGUGAAAUGCGUAGAUAUUAGGAGGAACACCAGUGGCGAAGGCGGCUUACUGGCCUGUAACUGACACUGAGGCUCGAAAGCGUGGGGAGCAAACAGG
rnacentral:rRNA from 1 species